rnacentral:rRNA from 1 species
AGGAACACCAGUGGCGAAGGCGGCCUGCUGGGCUUUAACUGACGCUGAGGCUCGAAAGCGUGGGGAGCAAACAGGAUUAGAUACCCUGGUAGUCCACGCCGUAAACGAUGAUUACUAGGUGUGGGGGGACUGACCCCUUCCGUGCCGAAGCAAACGCAUUAAGUAUCCCGCCUGGGGAGUACGAUCGCAAGGUUGAAACUCAAAGGAAUUGACGGGGGCCCGCACAAGCAGCGGAGCAUGUGGUUUAAUUCGAAGCAACGCGAAGAACCUUACCAAGGCUUGACAUCCUCUGACGACUGUAGAGAUACAGUUUCCCUUCGGGGCAGAGAGACAGGUGGUGCAUGGUUGUCGUCAGCUCGUGUCGUGAGAUGUUGGGUUAAGUCCCGCAACGAGCGCAACCCUUAUUGCUAGUUGCCAGCGAGUAAAGUCGGGAACUCUAGUGAGACUGCCGGGGACAACUCGGAGGAAGGUGGGGACGACGUCAAAUCAUCAUGCCCCUUAUGUCUUGGGCUACACACGUGCUACAAUGGCCGGUACAAAGGGCAGCGAACCCGUAAGGGGAAGCGANNNNNNNNAAGCCGGUCCCAGUUCGGAUUGUGGGCUGCAACCCGCCCACAUGAAGUCGGAGCUGCUAGUAAUCGCGAAUCAGCAUGUCGCGGUGAAUGCGUUCCCGGGCCUUGUACACACCGCCCGUCACACCACGGAAGUUGGGAGCACCCGAAGCCAGUGGCUUAACCGCAAGGGGAGAGCUGUCGAAGGUGAGAUCAAUGACUGGGGUGAAGUCGUAACAAGGUAACCA